GGUUUCUCGUUUCUUGCGCUCCUAUAUAUCUUCUUCUGGACUUCUUUCUGGUGUAUUUUGAUGAUCAAGAAUUCAAAGCUGCUAACGGGUGCCAGCAGCAGUUUUGUUGGCCUCCGAUAAUGGAUGAACCUGGGGCUUCCAAUUCUUGUGAUGAUGCUAAAAUUAGUACAAGUUGUCCUAGAGGUCACUGGAGACCUGCUGAAGAUGAGAAACUCAGGCAACUUGUUGAACAAUACGGCGCACAAAACUGGAAUUCUAUUGCUGAGAAGCUCCAAGGAAGAUCAGGAAAGAGUUGCAGAUUGAGGUGGUUUAAUCAACUCGACCCUAGAAUCAACAGGAGACCAUUCACAGAAGAAGAAGAGGAGAGACUACUGGCAGCUCAUCGUAUUCAUGGAAACAAAUGGGCUCUAAUAGCCAGACUAUUUCCAGGUCGAACUGAUAAUGCUGUGAAG
rnacentral:misc_RNA from 1 species